GACGAACGCUGGCGGCGUGCCUAAUACAUGCAAGUCGAUCGAAUCGGCGGAUGGGAGAGUAACGCGUGGGUAACCUGCCCUUAAGUCUGGGAUACCAUUUGGAAACCGAUGCUAAUACCGGAUACUAAAGGAUGGACCUGCGAUGCAUUAGCUUGUUGGUAAGGUAACGGCUGACCAGGGCGUUGAUGCAUAGCCGAGUUGAGAGACUGAGCGGCAACAUUGGGCCUGAGACACGGCACAAACUCCUACGGGGGGAAGCAGUAGGGAAUCUUACACAAUGGAGAAAAGUCUGAGGGGGAAACGCCGAGGGAGUAAGGAAGGUUUUCGGUGCGAAAUGCUUGGUUGUUGGUGGAGCGGUAAUCAACCAGAAAGUCACGGCUAACUACGUGCCAGCAGCCGCGGUAAUAG
rnacentral:rRNA from 1 species